GAAAGCAGGAGAGGUGAUCGCAACCGAAUUGCAGCCCAGUGCUGAGAUCCGGUUGAGGAAAGUCCGGGCUCCCCGAUGGCCAGGCUUGCUGGGUAACGCCCAGUGCGGGUGACCGUGAGGAGAGUGCCACAGAAACACACCGCCGAUGGCCGGUUCGCCGGCACAGGCAAGGGUGCAAAGGUGCGGUAAGGGCGCACCAGCAGCAUCGAGAGGUGCUGGCUAGGUAAACCCCGGCCGGGAGCAAGGCCAAGGAACGAUGACUGGCCAUCUGUCCCGUUCCGAUGAGUGAGCCGCUAGAGGCCGCCGGAGACGACGGUCCCAGAUAGAUGAUCACCCCCUUCCCUCGGGAAGGAGAACAGAACCCGGCUUAUGACCUGCUUUCACAC
rfam:Synechococcus sp. MIT S9508 MITS9508_contig000002, whole genome shotgun sequence.